rnacentral:piRNA from 1 species
UUUAAAUCAGUUGAAAAGAAG